rnacentral:rRNA from 1 species
UACGUAGGGGGCUAGCGUUGUCCGGAUUUAUUGGGCGUAAAGAGCGUGUAGGCGGCCAGGUAGGUCUGCUGUGAAAACUCGAGGCUCAACCUCGAGACGUCGGCGGAAACCAUCUGGCUAGAGUCCGGAAGAGGAGAGUGGAAUUCCUGGUGUAGCGGUGAAAUGCGCAGAUAUCAGGAAGAACACCAGUGGCGAAGGCGGCUCACUGGCUCGUAACUGACGCUGAGGCGCGACAGCGUGGGGAGCAAACAGG